GAUCGGAUUGUUUGUAUGUUAAUACAGAUAACUAAAGAAUGCUUAGAUAAAGCAAUAUCAAUAUGUGCACCGGGAGUGGAAUUCAAGACAAUUGGCAAGACAAUUCAGAAACAAUGAAAGUGACGAAUGGGCUGAAUCAAACGUUUACAAUUGACCAAUGCUGACUAUUGGCAGCAUCAAUCCUGUGAAGUGGAAUGACGACUGGACAGUCGUAACGGCAGAUGGAAGCCUUUCAGCACAGUUUGAGCACACCAUUCUCAUUACCCCUGACGGGGCUGAGAUUAUGACUCAAUGCUGACAGAUACAACAUUUUAUAAUUCUGGAUAAACCACAUGGAGAAACUUCAUUAUUUAGAUGCAAUUGAUUUAAUUCCUUCUAGUCCCAGAUCAAUUCUUUUUUGCUGGAACUUACCAGGGAUGGUGACGAGGAGAGGAACCACUUUCAUUUAGUGAAAUGAGAUGUUGUGCUCUUGGAAAAGCUUAUACAAAAA